rnacentral:rRNA from 1 species
GAGCGAAAGCCUAAAACUCAAAAGACUUGACGGUGUCCUAAUCUACCUAGAGGAGCCUGUUCCAUAAUCGAUAACCCACGAUAAACCCGACCACCCUUUGAAAUUUCAGCCUAUAUACCGCCGUCGACAGCCCACCUUAUAAAAGAACAAGAGUAGGCCAAAUAGGACUCACCCCUAAAAAGUCAGGUCAAGGUGUAGCUAAUAAGGUGGAGACAAUGGGCUACAUUUUCUAUAAUAGAACACACGAACUAGUUUAUUAAACAAAACUACGAAGGCGGAUUUAGCAGUAAGCU